AUUGAACGCUGGCGGCAUGCCUUACACAUGCAAGUCGAACGGCAGCACGGGUGCUUGCCCCUGGUGGCGAGUGGCGAACGGGUGAGUAAUACAUCGGAACAUGUCCUGUAGUGGGGGAUAGCCCGGCGAAAGCCGGAUUAAUACCGCAUACGAUCCACGGAUGAAAGCGGGGGACCUUCGGGCCUCGCGCUAUAGGGUUGGCCGAUGGCUGAUUAGCUAGUUGGUGGGGUAAAGGCCUACCAAGGCGACGAUCAGUAGCUGGUCUGAGAGGACGACCAGCCACACUGGAACUGAGACACGGCCCAGACUCCUACGGGAGGCAGCAGUGGGGAAUUUUGGACAAUGGGCGAAAGCCUGAUCCAGCAAUGCCGCGUGUGUGAAGAAGGCCUUCGGGUUGUAAAGCACUUUUGUCCGGAAAGAAAUCCUUGACUCUAAUACAGUCGGGGGAUGACGGUACCGGAAGAAUAAGCACCGGCUAACUACGUG
rnacentral:rRNA from 1 species